ACAAAAUUUCAUCCGUUAGCACGGGUGAAUAUCUAGUAUAUUACGCUGGGGACCAGGGGGCUUCUCGGCUCAAGAAGUGUCAAGCUCUCAGCUCUUCAAGGAGGGUUUUUUUUUUCCCCCUUUCUCUCGCAAUUUUUUUUUCCUCUCUUAGAACCUUCCCGAGCCUUCAGGUGCUCUCCCAGUUCCACGAUGUCUUGGUCGACUAGGAGGCUUGGAGCGCCCUAAUGGGAAUGAACCCCAUCCGAAACCGGAGAAACCCCUCUGAUCUCCGUCGGUGCUCUCCUUCCGAUUGAUCUCCAAAAAAGUAUCGUCCUUCCCACAGAUGUCCAAAAAAGAGAAAGAAAUAAAAAGAAAAAUAAGAAAAAGGCAAAAAAAAA